rnacentral:lncRNA from 1 species
UUCUGCUUGCACUUAAGGUUGAUUAUAGCACUGCUCUGCCAAAUAUAAUCCACAUUUCUUUUUCUUCUCCUCACCCAGCAGAGUCACAGUUGCAAAGACUCCCAGUGACAGGGGGAAGAAGCCAGCCCACUCCCGUCACCAGGCCAUUAUGCGUCACUGCCGUGCAUCAUCAAGCGCCACUGUCACCCACACACACGGAACAAUAACGGCCCAACAGAUGUGAGAGUCAUUGCGUUCCUCUGUCGUGCUGUUGGAAGACACCCUAACAACACACAGGAGCAGAUCUCUUUUUCUCUUACUGGGAGUAAGAAGCUCAAGGGCAGGAAAGGGAAAGGGGGAUUCCAAAGCAGAAGUGAUGGAACUGAUGCUGUCUCAGGAUUUGCUGCUUCAAGAAGGAAGGGAAUCCUGAAGAUCCAGCAAAGGGAACAAGCUGCAAGCCAAAUCACAUUCAUUGAAUUUAAAUUGCUUGGAUCUGAGAUGCUUUUUCUUCUGGGCUUUUCAGAGUUCUGGUACUGGCUGUGGAAGUUAUCUGGACCAAAUAGAGUGAAAGGAACUGAAGCUGUUAUUCUGGCCCUGUGAGUUCUCUUUCCCUGGGUUCCCACGGUGACUGGAGGGAAUUGUGCACACUGGCUGCAGGCCACUGCAAAGCCCUGGGCCCCCAGGCAGUCAGGGUACCCCUCCUGCUCCACCCAGCUGUGGUGGGAUGGGGAGUGGGGUGACAAUCACAAACUCCUGCUCUCACAUUUCCAUGCUACCAGUGCAGGCACUGAGUACUGCUCCAUUUGUCCCAUCAAAGCUGCAAGCCUUCCCCUCUCCAAAUAACCAGCAGAACACCUUGACAUGCUGCAGCAAUGUGUGAAAAGCAAGUCCUCCAAAGGACUCAAAGGGCCUGUUCAUCAUCUCAACGUGAUUUCUGCAGUCUAAUCUCAGCCUGUGCUCUUAUGUCCAGGGGGAAAGCUUUAUGAUGGGAUUUUCUGACCAGAGAAGUUAUGUCACCUAAUUUUGAAUGUCAAAGAUUGUUUGUUGCUGCAGUCCUGUACUUCAUUGUAAUGCCAUAGCCAAAAUCAAGAGCUCAGAGAUAAAGAAAGAAGACACAGUGUGUGAAGAAGGUGGAUUUCUCUAAUCUUGCUCUGCCUGCAUCUUUCCAUUAGCUACUGGAUCAUACACAUCUGAUGGACAAACCCACAACAGACCUGAUCUGGUUCAGAAUUAGAAGCCAAUGGUUCAGGGGUCUCCACAAAGCACAUUCCCAGAGGGAACUGGAAAUUUAGCAGCAAUUAGCCUUCAGGUUCAAAUCAAGAGGGAAUGGUGACUUUGAUGGGAUUACAGCUGGAUUCAACUACAUUGUUUUCUCUGUUAUCUAAAUCUGAUAUUGUCCCUGCCUUUCCUACAUACCCAAAUGUCCACUGAAUCCCACUAGCCCUGGGUCCUUUCUGGACAGUUUCCUCAGCUGGAGCCAAAGCCUGGCAAUAGAAAUGCAAGAGAAUUUGUUUAAUUACCUUUGCCAGUAUGUUGCAACACAUUAACUCAAGUGACAAAAACAUUUUAAAAACCUUCUUGGAAUUUAAAGUGAUAUCUCCCAACAUUUUUCCUUUGAUUUCAACUAAUGUAUACCAUUAGUUGAAUUGAUGGUUAUUAUUGUAGGACUUGCUGUUAUUUGCUGAAAGUAUUUGACUUGUGAUCCUAGAAUAUUGUUUAGGGGCUUUUUAUCAGUCCUUUUGUAUCAUAGAUCUUAAAAGCUUUCAAAUAAUUUUGCUUAUCAGACGACUCCCAAAAAAUUCACUUUCUCCUACUAGAUGUAUGAAAAAAGCUUCUUAUGUAGUAUUUUUUCUGUGUUUAACUGUAUUAUUUUUAUUUAUUUUAUUAAUAUUAAAAUUAAGAGUGUUUUUAAAAUAUAUAUUAAUAUGUGUCUUUAGUUGCAUGGAGGUAGACCCUAAAAACUAAAUAAGCUUUAGCAACCCAAAACUUAUUUUUCCCGUUAUUUUGUAUGUGACAGUUGUAACUCCUUGAUAAAAGAGCAUAAGAAACUAGAAAUAGAGACAUUGAGAGUCCCCCUGGCAUCUCAUCCCCAGAGUUUGUGUUACAGCUUUCUGUGGGAAUAUAUACCAGAGAGAUGAACAAAUCUGUGCUUUAUUCUGCCACCAUCCAUUGGGAAACCUCUUCAUUAAUUUAAGAGCCUCAGAGAGGUUCAGAGGACUGGAAGGAAAUCUUUGGAGGGAUUUUCUCAGAUGCGCAGCAAAGCUAUUUUAUCAUACCAAGAACUUCAUGCUGCCUCAAAUUUGAUGUAUUGAAUAUUAAAUAUACACACAUUACAGGCAUUUUGUUCAUAGUGUAACAGUGUGACCACACAGAUACAUUUUUUCCUGCUUGAGCAGAAAACUUUUUUUCUAUUGAAUGUAUUUGGAUUACAAUCAGAAUUUAUUUUCUCUUAAUCAUAAAGCACAAAUUGAAGUUGAAAAGUUUCAAAAGUACUAAUGAAGAAACUGAGGCAAAAAAAUGAAAUUAGUAAUUAUUUAACCGUAUAUUGCACAAAAGUUCUAAGCUAAACUUUAAUGAACAAAGAAUUAAUUCAAAAUGAAGAAAAGGCUGCUCUUAAGGUGAAAGUUAAUAUAAUAAGGAUUACUGUGAUAUUACUUCAAUAUAUAAUAACCAAUCUAUAUUUAUGGAUGGACUAAUUAAGACACUGAAAGAAGAUGUCUGCUAUUAAAUGGAAAAUAGAAAAAUAGAUCAAGGAAAGAGUCUGAGGAAAGAUUUCUGAAUAAUUAACUGAUUUGAGAUUGACCUAAAAUCCCUCUCAUUUUGUUAGUAUUGUUGUCUGUUGUUGCUAUAUUUUAUUUUUUUUUAUUUAUUUUUUUUAGUGCUUUCCACUCAAUUUGUGCUAAACCCACACUUCUGAGUAUGGGUUAUUCCCAGUCUUCUGAGAGGAAAUGCUACUUGCCCAUUUUAGAAUGGGAUGAAUAAAUCAUGGAUCUGCCAUGGGGAUCCUAACA